rnacentral:lncRNA from 1 species
CGUGCUAUAAAUUCAAGAUAGCAGUCCUCUUUUUGCUCUAGUGCCCACCGGUGAAGCAAGCCCCUGACCGGUAUCCAGCCCCACGGGGUGUGAGUGUGGACACCUGCUGGCCACCAGGAGGAACUGCAAGUCUCCUCUGGUCCGCGGUUCUCCCUUAUCUGCCAUCACUUUCAUCUCCUCGCACCGACCUUGACUUUGGAUCCGUCGCCUCUGACCCUUCCCCUUUGGGGUCUGCUUCCCCAAAUCUGUACAUUGACCCUUCUGUACCUUGUACCUUUCGUGUUGACUUUGGCUUGGGUCAUCCCCAGGGUCGCAGAGGAAUCCUCUGUCCCAGCGGAUGCAGACUCACUGUCCUUCCUAGGAGCUCCGUCCAUCAGGAAUCCAGGGGUUGAACUCAGGACCUUGCAUAUUUCAGGCAGGCACCGGCACCACCGAGCUAAAUCCCUGGCAGUUCAGACUGAUUUUGAGCUCAUCGUGUAGCCCACCCCAGGCUGGCCUCAAACUCGAAGCAGUCCUCCUGCCUCUGCCUCCUACGUGCUGGGAUUACAGGUGUGUGUGCCAUCCUGCCCAACCCCAUUUUAAAAUUGAGCUAUAGUUUUAAGAAUCUAUUUUAAGUGUUAGUUUCUUACUAGAUACAUAGUUUGCAAGUAUUUUCUCCCAUUUGGUAGGUUGCUUUUGUCCUUUGCUGUGCAGUUCUGAAGUUCAGUGUGGUCCUGUUUGUUCUUUUUGGUGUCAUCCAUCACCACAUCCAACAUCAUGAAGCUUCCCCUACAAGUUUUCUUUUAGGGUUUUUACAGUUACAGGUCUAUUUCUGCAUCUUUAAUCUGUUUGAGUUAAUUUUUGUAGGUGAUGUAAGAUAAGGAUCUAACUUCAUUCUUUUUCCUGCCCAUGGCCUAUUUUCCCAGCACCAUUUACUGAAGAGAUAGGAAGUUUUUAAAGCAUAGCAAGGAGCUCAGUGGUGCCACCACCUGCCCUGAAAGCGCAAGGACCUGAGUUCGAUCCUUGGUACCAAAAAAAAAAAAAAAAGCAUAGCAAGGAGAAUUCAAAGGCCCUCAAGUUCCACACUAGAGAGAAGCACAGCAUAUGUGUUCAUAUGAGUAUAAAACAGUGCCAUAUAUUUAUUCUGAGGUAUGGUGACUUUCGCAUAUUUUAAUAAACUAGAAAUUGGGGUGGUGACUUAUUCCAAUUGAUGGCGUCUCACAACUAAUUGGCAAUUUUUUUUUAGUGGAACAUAAAAUAGUUUUAAAAAUCAGUUUGAUUAAAUAGAGGAUAGCCGUAGUAGGAUAGCCAGGCAUGGUGGCACACACCUAUAAUUGCAGCACUCUGGGAGGCUGAGGCAGGGGGAGCACAAAUUCAAGCCCAGCCUGGGCAACUCACUGAUUUAGCAAGAUCGUAUCUUAAAAAUAAACAGCCAUGGGGAUGUAGCUCAGUGUGAAGGCCCUGGGUUCAAUAGCUAGUAUACUGCAAAAUAAAAAGCGGAAAACCUAAAAACAUAAGUACAGCUGGAUGGGAGAGUCAGACUCGUCAUUUUCACGCUUGUAUGAUUUUGCAGUGUUCUGAUUUUCCUAAUGUUGUGGGACACACGUUUUCCACAUCCUUACAUAUGGAUCUUUCCCUUUGCUCCAUACUGGCCAGAGGGACACUGUGCUUGUUUGGAGGCAGAGGGUGAAAGGGAAUUCUCUGUGCUUUGCCCUCAGUUCUGCUGUGACCCUGAAACUCUGACACAGUAAGAAAGAGAUGAACUAGCAAGUCAUGAAAACACACAGAAGAACCUUAAGUCUGUAUCAUGAAGUGAAAGGAACUUCGAGGCUCGUGUGUUGGAAGCUUUAGACCCAUGUGGGCUUUCAGGAAGAGGGGCCUAGGAGCUGCCGCCCACAGUGGGUUAGUGCUGCUGUCCUGGAGCAGGGUCCUUGCCAGGUGAUCCAUUUAGCUCCCACUCGCCUUCUCUGCUCAUCUACCACGAGAUGCCAUAGAGCAGCAAGAAGGCCCUUGCCAGAUGCCAACCCUUCUAGCUGCUUCCUAGCCACUAGAAGUACAAGACUGUAAACUUCUGUGUAUCAUAAAUUCCUUCGUCUGAUACCUGUAAUCCCUUGGGAGGCUGAGGCAGGCAGAUCGACACAAGUUUGAGGCCAGCCUGGACUACAUAGUGAAUUCAAGGCCAGCCCAAAUGACAUAGUGAGAUCUUGUCUCAAAAAAAUAAAAUAAAUUAUGGCAGCGUGACACAGACUAAGACAGAUGCCAAUCUGAAAAGGUUACAGACUACAUAAUUCUGUGAUGUUCUGGAAAAGGCAAAACUAUGGAGACAAUCGAAAGAUCAGUGGUUUCCAGGAGUUGAGCAGAGGGCAGGAUGAACUGUAGAGCAGAGACAAUUUUUAGGAAGGUGAAACUAUUCUGGCUGCUGCUGUCAUGGAAGAUACACGUUGUUACACGUGUGUGGAAAUCCAUGGGACACGCGUCACUGGCAGGGGGCCCUUAGGGUAACAAGGUGCUAGUGUAGGUUCAGCAGUGGUAACGAAUGUACCCUGGUGGGUCAGGAUGGGGAGGGAUGGGGCACGGACAUAUGGGAACUGCUUUCUGCUCAGUUUUGCUGUGAACAUGAAAUUACUCUAAAAAAUAAAGUUUACUUAAAAAAAAAAAGCUAAAUACUAGUAAUUCUUGAAUCCUCUCUCAGGCCCCUGCUGUGAGUCACCAUCAAUCCCAGGCCACACUGUGGUUGCUCCUUGGAGGGGUCACAUGGUAUAAUAGGGCCAGGCAAGUUGGAACUCUAGGGAUUCACCACACUGAAUUAAAUGGAAUCCUUUAUUACAAGCCAGGUGAUCCAGAGCGGGCUCAUGCCUCCAAAAACUGGAC